CCUCCUUCAGCUCUCUUCAGAGCUUGGAGACGCAGUGAGCUUAGUUAGUACCUGAACACCUGGUAGUGCUUACUUUCCAGCUGCGUAAUAGUAGGAAUUUUUAUCCUAUCUAAUCAAGCCACAGCUUCUCAGAUGGUAGCUGCGUUGAAUAGAGUUGUUAGGGUAGGAGCGUGGUGUAAUGCUAAGAACCUAAUUAAAUACUAAAUUGGUCGUUUACAGAUCUCUUAAGUGGUGAGAAGGCUCUAGGGGAUCUAACGAUCACUGGACUAAAGAAAAUCCAUAUGAAGACACUCAAUUGAAGGAGUGGGUUUAAAUCCAGCAGGUGGAAUGGAAUUGCAACCAGUUGCAAAAGAAAAGAACAUUAGGAAACAGGCAGAGGGACAAUCAUGCGAAGACAAAGUUAGAAGGGAACCAUGUGCAUGACAAGCAGAGAGGCUUCAGCAGAAAUAAAACCUGCCGGUACCUCUAUCUGGAACUUCUAAUCUCUAGGAUGAUCCCAGAAGCUGGCUUUACCUAGUGGAGAUGUUUUCGGGACAACAAAGACAAGGCCAAGAGUUCCACGAAUUCAUGAAGUUCUUCCCCUAUCCACUGGCACUAUGAGGCAGCAACAGUUUUUAAAUAAUUAAACCUUGUUCUUUUUCUUCAUGUUUGUAGUGUUUCACUGAAAACUUUUUAAAUUUUAUUUUAUUUUAUUUUGAGAGAGAGAGAGCACAUGUGAGUUGAAGAGGAGCAGAAGAGGGAGGGAAGGAGGGAGGGAGGGAGAAAGAGAGAAGAGAGAAGAGAGAAAAUC